UCAGCAUGGUGGGACAGUGACCAGCAAAGGCUUGUGGUGCUGCUGGAACCUGAAGAGCAAAGGGAGUAGCUCCCCAAGUGCUGAUGGGAAUGCUCACGGAUGAGGGAAGAGGUUAAAGUGCAGCUUUACUACAGAGUCAGGCUGUUUCCCAGGCUGUGCUUGUGAAGUAGCUGAGAGGAAGGAUCAGAAAGCUGGCAGGAGUCCCACCACUCUUACAAGCAGGAGGACGACUGUAAACGUUUAGAAGAUCAGAUCUGGAAGUAACUCCUCCAUCACCCUGGUGAUGUGGCAGCCCCUCUGGAAUGACUGGGCUAAGCCUGCUGCUGCAGUAGAACGCUUGCUGUCACCCUGUGGUGCCUGGCAAAUAUAAGAGGUGACCAGGGCUGGCUGCUGAGUGCAACAGACCGCUUUGGCGUGAGUAAAUCUAUCCUGUGAUAUUCCCAAAGCAUCCCUGGGAUCUGCUGGCUAGAACAGGAAAUGAUUCUCACAUCCUCAGGGGAUUUUUUUCUUCUAGUCUGACUGAUACAUCCACUCAGGGCAACGAAAAAGUGGAAAAAGGCAAUCUUGGGCUGAGCCUCAAAGUGUAUUUUGGAUCUGAGUGUUUCACUUCGUGAGCCCAUUUUUCAGUGGUGAUCUAAUGCUGUUCUUUCUCUAAGUUCACAUAAAAAAAGAAGACAUAACUCA